rnacentral:ncRNA from 1 species
AUAAACCCAAUGACUGUGAGGAAUAGUGAUCCUGCCGUCCAGAGAGAAAGGCCAGAGCUGAAAGGCCUUUUCGGGAAGCCACUAGAGGUCGCACAGGAGGGGCGGAGGGGAAUGGAGUACUCUCUGACGGAGGAACCCGUUAGCGUUUGCCAAGUGCUGAGGAAACCAAUGUUUCUCAGAAUAAAGGUGGUACCACGGAAGCUUUUCGUCCUUUGA